CCUACGGGAGGCUGCAGUGAGGAAUAUUGGUCAAUGGCCGGAAGGCUGAACCAGCCAUGCCGCGUGAAGGUCAGUGCCCUAUGGGCGUUAAACUUCUUUUGUGCGGGAGCAAUAAUGGUCACGUGUGGCCAGACGAGAGUACCGUACGAAUAAGCAUCGGCUAACUCCGUGCCAGCAGCCGCGGUAAUACGGGGGAUGCAAACGUUAUCCGGAUUUAUUGGGUUUAAAGGGUGCGUAGGCUGUGAGGUAAGUCAGCGGUGAAAUGCCCCCGCACAACGGGGUGAAGUGCCAUUGAUACUGCCUGGCUGGAAUGCGGAUGCCGUGGGAGGAAUGUGUGGUGUAGCGGUGAAAUGCAUAGAUAUCACACAGAACACCGAUUGCGAAGGCAUCUCACGAAUCCGCGAUUGACGCUGAUGCACGAAAGCGUGGGUAUCAAACAGGAUUAGAUACCCUUGUAGUC
rnacentral:rRNA from 1 species